rnacentral:rRNA from 1 species
AAUAUUGGACAAUGGGCGCAAGCCUGAUCCAGCCAUGCCGCGUGAGUGAAGAAGGCCCUCGGGUUGUAAAGCUCUUUUGUCCGGAAAGAAAAGCUCUCGGUUAAUACCCGGGGGUUCUGACGGUACCGGAAGAAUAAGCACCGGCUAACUUCGUGCCAGCAGCCGCGGUAAUACGAAGGGGGCUAGCGUUGUUCGGAAUUACUGGGCGUAAAGCGCGCGCAGGCGGUUCUCCAAGUCAGUGGUGAAAGCCCGGAGCUCAACUCCGGAAUUGCCAUUGAAACUGUAGAACUUGAGGACGAGAGAGGUGAGUGGAAUUCCCAGUGUAGAGGUGAAAUUCGUAGAUAUUGGGAAGAACACCGGUGGCGAAGGCGGCUCACUGGCUCGUUUCUGACGCUCAGGCGCGACAGCGUGGGGAUCAAAC